rnacentral:rRNA from 1 species
UCCUACGGGGGAGCAGCAGUGGGGAAUAUUGCACAAUGGGCGAAAGCCUGAUGCAGCAACGCCGCGUGAGGGAUGACGGCCUUCGGGUUGUAAACCUCUUUUAGCAGGGAAGAAGCGAAAGUGACGGUACCUGCAGAAAAAGCGCCGGCUAACUACGUGCCAGCAGCCGCGGUAAUACGUAGGGCGCAAGCGUUAUCCGGAAUUAUUGGGCGUAAAGAGCUCGUAGGCGGUUUGUCGCGUCUGCUGUGAAAUCCCGAGGCUCAACCUCGGGCCUGCAGUGGGUACGGGCAGACUAGAGUGCGGUAGGGGAGAUUGGAAUUCCUGGUGUAGCGGUGGAAUGCGCAGAUAUCAGGAGGAACACCGAUGGCGAAGGCAGAUCUCUGGGCCGUAACUGACGCUGAGGAGCGAAAGGGUGGGGAGCAAACAGGCUUAGAUACCCUGGUAGUCCACCCCGUAAACGUUGGGAACUAGUUGUGGGGACCAUUCCACGGUUUCCGUGACGCAGCUAACGCACUAAGUGAGACUGCCUGCCACUGCUUUUGAUGAUUA